rnacentral:tRNA from 1 species
GGAGGCGUUCCUCGUCUGGUGACGGGCGCGGUCUUCAACACCGUAGUGACCGAGCAUCUCGGUCAGGCGGGUUCGAUUCCCGUCCGCCUCCGCCA